rnacentral:lncRNA from 1 species
UUUCUGGAAAGUAAUCAUGUGCAAGGCACAUGCCUUCAGGAAAAUUCCAGAAAUACCCUUUAGUCCUUAGAAUAAUGCCCAUGUUGCCCUGUCCUUCUAGCCACCAAUCCAAUCCCUCAAUCAAUUCCCAAAACGAGCCGCCUCCACGAAUCUUCUGCCUCGGGACACGUGGAGGCUUCUCCCGGGUCUAGCACAUUUAUUUCUGACUUUUUCGUCUUUAUUUCAUUAGGUUAUGCGAACCCUAAUUUGCACAUUUAAUGAGGUCGUGGAACCCUAAUUGUGCAUUUAAUAUAAUUAGGUCAUGUGAACC